rnacentral:rRNA from 1 species
AACGAACGCUGGCGGCAUGCCUAACACAUGCAAGUCGAACGAGACCUUCGGGUCUAGUGGCGCACGGGUGCGUAACGCGUGGGAACCUGCCCUUAGGUUCGGAAUAACUCCCCGAAAGGGGUGCUAAUACCGGCUAAUGUCCUCGGACCAAAGAUUUAUCGCCUUUGGAUGGGCCCGCGUUGGAUUAGCUAGUUGGUAGGGUAAAAGCCUACCAAGGCGACGAUCCAUAGCUGGUCUGAGAGGAUGAUCAGCCACACUGGGACUGAGACACGGCCCAGACUCCUACGGGAGGCAGCAGUGGGGAAUAUUGGACAAUGGGCGAAAGCCUGAUCCAGCAAUGCCGCGUGAGUGAUGAAGGCCUUAGUGUUGUAAAGCUCUUUUACCCGGGAUGAUAAUGACAGUACCGGGAGAAUAAGCUCCGGCUAACUCCGUG